CGGGCCCUCACCCUGACCGGGCGGGUCUAACGCUGGGGCCCCUCCAGGUCCAGGUGUGCCCCCUGGAGGCAAGUCGGGGCAGUGCCCACCGGGCAAGGGCUCGGGUCUCGCCGGCCUCGUGUCCUCUGCUGGGACGUCCGCCUGCGUCCACGUGCUCUGCGCACUGGGGAGGGGGGGCGGCUCAGGACACACGUGCCUCACCCCUUCCUGGCCCCCCUCCCAGAAGGUGCUAGAAGAGCUGGUGAGGCCAGGUUGGGGGACACCCUGGGGCGUGCAGUGGGGAACCCCAGGGCCAGGCCUGUGGGGCGCAGUGAGCCCCCAGCAGCCCUGGGGCAGGGUCCCAGGGACUGGGUAUGGGCUCCUGCAGGGGCGAGGCAGACAGCGGGGAGCGGAACCCCUCCCCAUCCUGCACGUCCCCCUAGAAGCGAGGGUUUCAGUGCUGAGACUGAAAUGUCACAGCUGCCGGGCGGACAGGGGCAGCCGGCUGCCGUCUUGGUACCACCAGAGGCCCCUGGGGUGCAGCUCACCCGGGAGGGACGGGGACGGGGUGGGGGAGCAGGGGCUGCAUGCUCGGAGCUGCGUGAGCCGUCUGCUCCCCGCACACCGAGGGCCGCAGGCCUCCACCCACACAGCCCGGGGACAUUGGGGGUCGGCAGCCUCAGUGGGGGAGCAGGGGCUCCCUCAGGACCGCCCUUGAAAUGCGGGGCCCACGACCUGUGCAGACGUGUGUGCGUGAAGCCUUCGCACCAAGCGGAGCUCAGGCUGAACGCGACUCAGACCCAGACACUGGGAUGGGCUAAGAGUUGGCGGGCAGGGGAGGUGGGAGGGGCAGGACGGCACGGACAGGCACCGUGGACACACAGGGAUGUGGCGGGGGUGACAGGAGCGGCGAGCUGAUGGGGGCUGCGAGCACCCCACACGCCCCCCGUCUGCCCCCCCCCCCCCCCCGUCCCUUCCACAGGAGCCUCGGCCUCGGGCAGCACUGCUCAGGACGGGCCGAGGAGAGCCGGCUCCAGGGCCUGCGAGCAGAGGGCCGGGUGGGGUGCACUCUGCUGGGGGGUCAGGGAGGCAGGCCAGCCACCCCUCCUGGCCUCCAGGCCCAGGAACCAGCUGCAGAGGGACAGGCCGGGCUGCGCCCCCGUUUAGGUGGGGACGCGCUCCGGGUCCCGGGGGGCCGCUGGCAGCUGCCACCACCACGAGCA